ensembl:miRNA
GGGGGCAGAGCCGGGCCCGGGCCCGUCGCGGGGGGAGGUCCUGUUACUCCCCGAUCCGAGGGUCGUGCCUGGUUUUGCUCCC